rnacentral:rRNA from 1 species
AGAGUUUGAUCCUGGCUCAGGAUGAACGCUAGCGGCAGGCUUAACACAUGCAAGUCGAAGGGCAGCGGGGUGUAGCAAUACACUGCCGGCGACCGGCGCACGGGUGCGUAACGCGUAUGCAACCUACCCAUAACAGGGGCAGUAACACUGAGAAAUUGGUACUAAUUCCCCAUAACAUUCGAAGAGGCAUCUCUUUGGGUUGAAAACUCCGGUAGGUUAUGGAUGGGCAUGCGUUGUAUUAGCUAGUUGGUGGGG